CGAGAGAGAGAGACGGCUGCGAUGCUAGGGCAAGGCGAUAGGACCGACGUUGGCUUUGUCUGUGGGGUCGUCGAAGCAAGAGGCUGGAGGUUGGGUCGGUGAGUGCAGGGAGCUUGGAGCGUCGGAUCGGACAUGGACGAAAGGUUCACUUGAGAUUCUGUUUUACUCACAAGUGUGCAAGGCGUAUCAGAGGAAAUUGCAACUCUUGCGAUUCUUCUUCAACUCGGGAGCGGAGAAGAGGUUCUUAGCAACCGAAUCCCUCAAAACCUCAACAGCCUUAAUGGCUAGCUCAAGGCUGACUGGAUGUUUUGCUGGAUGGCUGACUCAUGACUGUUAAUCUGUCAUAAUUCAUAUAUUAUUAUUAUUAUUUUUUUUAACUUUUUGAAACUAUAAUGAUAAACCUUCUAAAAUGAGAGUGAGAGUCGUAUCAGUGUAUCAGUGUAAGUGCUGUUACAACUAGUUGACAUUUGUAUUUUGUUAGAAUUAGCAAAUACUAUUUAAUUGAAUGAAGAUAUAUUAAGUUAAUACAAACUGUCACCUUGGGUGGUAAUAUGCUUUAUUAAACUUACACCUUAUUAUGUGAUUAAUGAUUUAGUGGAUUUAAUC